rnacentral:snRNA from 1 species
AUACUUACCUGGCAGGGGAGAUACCAUGAUCACGAAGGUGGUUUUCCCAGGGCGAGGCUUAUCCAUUGCACUCCGGAUGUGCUGACCCCUGCGAUUUCCCCAAAUGUGGGAAACUCGACUGCAUAAUUGUGGUAGUGGGGGACUGCGUUCGCGCUUUCCCCUG